AGGAUGAACGCUGGCGGCGUGCCUAACACAUGCAAGUCGAACGUCCUGUCUCGCAAGAGGCAGGGAGUGGCGGACGGGUGAGUACCACGUGGGUCAUCUACCGUGAGGUGAGGAAUACCGGCGAGAAAUCGCCGACAAAACCGCAUAGGCUCGAUGCAAGUCGAGCAAAGCUCGCUCGCAAGAGGGAGCGCCACACGAGGAGCCUGCGCCCGAUUAGCUGGCUGGUGGAGUAAUGGUUCACCAGGGCGACGAUCGGUAGCUGGUCUGAGAGGACGAUCAGCCACACUGGGAUUGAGAACGGCCCAGACUCCUACGGGGGGCAGCAGUGAGGAAUUUUCGUCAAUGGGGGCAACCCUGAACGAGCAACGCCGCGUGCAGGAAGAAGGUUUUCGGAUCGUAAACUGCUUUUCUCGGGGAAGAGAACGGACGGUACCCGAGGAAGAAGCCCCGGCUAACUACGUGCCAGCAGCCGC
rnacentral:rRNA from 1 species